GAUGAAGAACGCAGUGAAAUGCGAUAUGUAAUGUGAAUUGCAGAAUUCAGUGAAUCAUCGAAUCUUUGAACGCACAUUGCGCCCCCUGGUAUUCCGGGGGGCAUGCCUGUCCGAGCGUCAUUACAACCCUCAAGCUCAGCUUGGUGUUGGGCCCCGCCGCCCCGGCGGGCCCUAAAGUCAGUGGCGGUGCCGUCCGGCUCCGAGCGUAGUAAUUCUUCUCGCUCUGGAGGUCCGGUCGUGUGCUCGCCAGCAACCCCCAAUUUUUUUCAGGUUGACCUCGGAUCAGGUAGGGAUACCCGCUGAACUUAAGCAUAUCAAUAAGCGGAGGA
rnacentral:misc_RNA from 1 species